rnacentral:rRNA from 1 species
CUACGUGUUGCACCAGUGAGGAAUAUUGCACAAUGGGGGGAACCCUGAUGCAGCAACGCCGCGUGGAGGAUGACGCAUUUCGGUGUGUAAACUCCUUCUAUAUGUCAAGAAAAUGACGGUAGCAUAUGAAUAAGCACCGGCUAACUCCGUGCCAGCAGCCGCGGUAAUACGGAGGGUGCAAGCGUUACUCGGAAUCACUGGGCGUAAAGGACGCGUAGGCGGGUUGGAAAGUCAGGUGUGAAAUCCUACAGCUUAACUGUAGAACUGCAAUUGAAACUUCUAAUCUAGAGUAUGGGAGGGGGAGAUGGAAUUAGUGGUGUAGGGGUAAAAUCCGUAGAUAUCACUAGGAAUACCUAAAGCGAAGGCGACCUCCUGGAACAUUACUGACGCUAAGGCGUGAAAGCGUGGGGAGCAAACAGGAUUAGAUACCCGAGUAGUC